CCGGGUACCGGAAGAGCUAACCUGCGAAUAUUUUUUCAGCAUUAAAAACGGACAGAUUUUCGUGGACAAAUGGACUCCUGGAUGUAUGAGACUUUAGUAACUACGCGAAGAGGAGUCUGACUGUAUGACGGUGAUGACGAGGCACAAAUGGAAGUUGGAGUUGUCCUGUUGAGCACACACCGGUUGAUCUGGAGGGACACCAAGCCGGGUUAGGUUCCAGCACCUCCGCGACCCCAAAAGGGAAGAAGCGGGCAAGAAGAUGAAUGAAUGAAUAAA